GACAGAGGGUGCAAACGUUGUUCGGAAUUACUGGGCGUAAAGCGCACGUAGGCGGCUUUGUAAGUUAGAGGUGAAAGCCCGGGGCUCAACUCCGGAAUUGCCUUUAAGACUGCAUCGCUAGAAUUGUGGAGAGGUAAGUGGAAUUCCGAGUGUAGAGGUGAGAUUCGUAGAUAUUCGGAAGAACACCAGUGGCGAAGGCGACUUACUGGACACAUAUUGACGCUGAGGUGCGAAAGCGUGGGGAGCAAACAGG
rnacentral:rRNA from 1 species